rfam:Triticum aestivum genome assembly, contig: Triticum_aestivum_CS42_TGACv1_scaffold_603499_7DL
CACCUAUUCCCUCUGCCCGGAAAUACUUGUCAUCAAAAUAGAUAAAAUGAGAUGUACCUGGAUAUAUUUUAGUUUUAGAUACAUCUCUUUUUAUCCAUUUUGAUGACAAGUAUUCGAACGGAGGGAGUAUAAG